rnacentral:pre_miRNA from 1 species
UUAACGCAAAUUAGUAUGCAGUUGGAACAGCGCCCCUAGCGGCAAACGUAGGCAAACGUUCCAACUCCAUACAAAUUUGAGUUA